rnacentral:rRNA from 1 species
GACGAACCACACGAACGUUAUUCGGAAUUACUGGGCUUAAAGGGUGCGUAGGCGGCGUGGUAAGUUGGGUGUGAAAUCCCUCGGCUCAACCGAGGAACUGCGCCCAAAACUACCAUGCUUGAGGAAGAUAGAGGUAAGCGGAACUUACGGUGGAGCGGUGAAAUGCGUUGAUAUCGUAAGGAACACCUGUGGCGAAAGCGGCUUACUGGGUCUUUCUGACGCUGAUGCACGAAGCCAGGGAGCAAACGGG